UAUGUCCCAGACCUGUGGUUGAAGAGGCAA
rnacentral:piRNA from 1 species